UCCUCAGUAGCUCAGUGGUAGAGCGGUCGGCUGUUAACCGAUUGGUCGCUGGUUCGAAUCCAGCCUGGGGAG
rnacentral:tRNA from 22 species